GACAGAGGGUGCAAACGUUGUUCGGAAUUACUGGGCGUAAAGCGCGUGUAGGCGGCUAUGCAAGUCGGAUGUGAAAGCCCUCGGCUCAACCGGGGAAGUGCACCCGAAACUGCAAAGCUAGAGUCUCGGAGAGGAUCGUGGAAUUCUCGGUGUAGAGGUGAAAUUCGUAGAUAUCGAGAGGAACACCGGUGGCGAAGGCGGAUCUCUGGGCCGAUACUGACGCUGAGGAGCGAAAGCGUGGGGAGCGAACAGG
rnacentral:rRNA from 1 species